GACGAACGCUGGCGGCGUGCUUAACACAUGCAAGUCGAACGCUGAAGCUUGGUGCUUGCACUGGGUGGAUGAGUGGCGAACGGGUGAGUAAUACGUGAGUCACCUGCCCUUGACUCUGGGAUAAGCCUGGGAAACUGGGUCUACUACUGGAUCUGACAUGCCACUGCAUGGUGGUGUGUGGAAAGGGUUUUACUGGUUUUGGAUGGGCGCAUGGCCUAUCAGCUUGUUGGUGGGGUAAUGGCCUACCAAGGCGACGACUGGUAGCCGGCCUGAGAGGGUGACCAGCCACACUGGGACUGAGAGACGGCCCAGACUCCUACGGUGGGCAGCAGUGGGGAGUAUUGCACAAUGGGCGGAAGCCUGAUACGGCGACGCCGCGUGAGGAAUGACGGCCUUCGGGUUAUGAACCUCUUUCAGCUCAGAAGAAGCGGUAGUGACGGUACGUGCAGAAGAAGCGCCGGCUAACUACGUG
rnacentral:rRNA from 1 species